UACGUAGGGGCUAGCGUUGUCCGGAAUCAUUGGGCGUAAAGCGCGUGUAGGCGGCCCGGUAAGUCCGCUGUGAAAGUCGGGGCUCAACCCUCGGAUGCCGGUGGAUACUGUCGGCUUGAGUACGGAAGAGCGAGUGGAAUCCUGGUGUAGCGGUGGAAUGCGCAGAUAUCAGGAGGAACACCAAUAGCGAAGCAGCUCGCUGGACGUUACUGACACUGAGCGCGAAAGCGUGGGAGCGAACAGG
rnacentral:rRNA from 1 species